rnacentral:ncRNA from 2 species
GGUGUUCGCGGGCGUGGUGGACUGCCGGGGCCAUUACGGCGGCAGAAGAGGAAGCCGGUGCGAAUCCGGCGCGGUCCCGCCACUGUCACUGGGAGUCGUCUCCCAGGAGCCAGGAACUCUCGCCGCCGCACCACGUCGAGC